rnacentral:rRNA from 1 species
UGGGAUGAUGUCAAGUCAGCACGGCCCUUAUGGGGUGGGCUACACACGUGCUACAAUGGUAGCUACAAUGGGUUGCAAUGUCGCAAGGCGGAGCUAAUCCUCAAAAGCUAUCUCAGUUCGGAUUGUCCUCUGCAACUCGAGGGCAUGAAGUCGGAAUCGCUAGUAAUCGUGGAUCAGCAUGCCACGGUGAAUACGUUCUCGGGUCUUGUACACACUGCCCGUCACGCCAUGGGAAUUGGCUUAACUCGAAGCUGGU